CAGCCCUAAAGGCACCACAGACCCACAGAGAGAAAUUAUAAUUCUGUGCUCUUUUGUCUUAAGCUUUUUCUCUCUCCUUUUUCUUGCUGACUUGUUCUCAUCAGGAAGACUUUUUUCCCCACAGUUCUGAAAGGUGAUCUUUCUUCAUACAGGAAGAGCAAAGGGUCAAAUCCUUGUCUUGUUGUUCUUUUCCCCUCUGUAUGUUGGAUGUGUUUGCUGGCUCCUAUUCCGGAGUUCUGAUUGGCAUCAAAGCUGGCAGUGACAAUUGUCUCUACUGAUCCCUAGACUUCAUUAAAUUAGGUCAUCUUCCAGCUCUGGGCUGGUGCAGAAGAUGGGGGAGAGGUGCAGCAGGCUGGUGGGACUGGAGACCCUGCAGACACCUAAGUAGAAGUGAACUGGAUGAAUAGCAUCAGAUGUGGACUGGGAAUCUGCCACCCCAACCAACCUGCUCUUGACUGCUUGUACUGCUGGAGCAUCUUCAGAGCCCAGCCAAGACUGGAACUGUGGACUGGGCAGGUGAUGGAAAGGCAGCAGGGCUGGGAAGAGCCAGCUGCAGAGGAUGCUUUCCUGACAUGGUGGUUUGUUUGA
ensembl:lncRNA